AAAAACUAAUUCAGAGGACCUUUAGUCAUUACUUAAAUAUAUACAUUGUUGUGAAAUAAAAAAUCAAGUUCUGAGAUACUGUUAGACUUUUUAAUUGUAAUUGUUAUUUUAUUGAGCUGGGAUGACACACAAAUUAUGCCUAUUGAUGAAAUAUACUAUCAUGACUUGUCAGAGUUUAACAUUUUCAGUUAAUCAAAAAACAAUUUAAUUUUAAGUUCUGUUAAUGUAAAAAACAAUUUGAUGACGUGUUAACGGGCCACAGUUUCCGCGCGCAUGUUCAAGGCCAGACGAGGAGAGGAGCAUGUGGUGAAUGCAUUACAAGGCUUGCUUUAAGAUUGGACCAAGAGUGGACCAAGGGGUUCAAGUUGAGACUUGGUCAGCCUCUCAGGACAAACUAGACAUCACCUUCUCCUUCCCCUGAGGUGUGGCUUUCUGCCUUGAUCCAGUACCCUGGUGUUGUGGAUCAAGGAUUUCAAGUUGAGACGUGAUCAGCCUCCUAAAGAAAAUUGUGAAGAAGUACGGGGUGAGACAGAAACAUUAACACUUAACUUUUGUAAUUCAGAUCCACAGCAAAUAAAUCAGUUGUGUUCACACACACACCUCCUUGAAUUAUUUUACUUAAUUUAUCUCCCUACUUAGGUCUUCAUUCACUUUGCCGUGUGCCUUGCAAGGACAAAAAACUUGCCUUCAUCUUCUCCUGGUUUCGUGGACCAAGGGGUUCAAGUUUAGACGUGGUCAGUGUGAAGAAGCAUGGAGUGAGAAACAUGAAAUAUGCAGUGGCCUUGUAAAAUCUGUAAAUAUGCGACCCCUACUAAAGACGAGUUGUUGAAACAUUAUAGGUUACGUCAUAUCCGCGGUGGGCAA